GGGCGGAUGGCGGAAUUGGUAUACGCGAUAGGUUGAGGACCUAUGCUCCGAAAGGGGCUUGAGGGUUCAAGUCCCUCUCCGCCCACCA
rnacentral:tRNA from 2 species